rnacentral:rRNA from 1 species
CCUACGGGAGGCAGCAGUGAGGAAUAUUGGUCAAUGGACGAGAGUCUGAACCAGCCAAGUAGCGUGAAGGAUGACUGCCCUAUGGGUUGUAAACUUCUUUUAUAUGGGAAUAAAAUGUUCCACGUGUGGGAUUUUGUAUGUACCAUAUGAAUAAGGAUCGGCUAACUCCGUGCCAGCAGCCGCGGUAAUACGGAGGAACCGAGCGUUAUCCGGAUUUAUUGGGUUUAAAGGGAGCGUAGGUGGAUUGUUAAGUCAGUUGUGAAAGUUUGCGGCUCAACCGUAAAAUUGCAGUUGAAACUGGCAGUCUUGAGUACAGUAGAGGUGGGCGGAAUGCGUGGUGUAGCGGUGAAAUGCUUAGAUAUCAGGAGGAACAUCAGUGGCGAAGGCGGCCGCCUGGCACAAAACUGACGCUGAGGUGCGAAAGCGUGGGUAGCAAACAGGAUUAGAUACCCUUGUAGUC